GUGCAGCAUCAUCAAGAUUCACAUCGUUCCCAUCUCUGGGUUUGAAGGUGAUAACAUGAUUGACAGGUCCACCAACCUUGAUUGGUACAAGGGCCCGACCCUUCUUGAGGCUCUUGACUUGAUACAGGAGCCCAAGAGGCCCUCAGACAAGCCCCUCCGUCUUCCACUUCAGGAUGUGAAUCUUGAUGAUGCUGCAC
rnacentral:pre_miRNA from 1 species